GCAGUAGCCGCGGUAAUACGAGGGGGGCAAGCGUUGUUCGGAAUUAUUGGGCGUAAAGGGCGCGUAGGCGGUUUGGCAAGUUUCGUGUGAAAUCUUCGGGCUCAACUCGAAGUCUGCACGGAAAACUGCCGGGCUUGAGUAUGGGAGAGGUGAGUGGAAUUUCCGGUGUAGCGGUGAAAUGCGUAGAUAUCGGAAGGAACACCUGUGGCGAAAGCGGCUCACUGGACCAUUACUGACGCUGAGGCGCGAAAGCUAGGGGAGCAAACAGGAUUAGAUACCCCAGUAGUCCCUGUCUCUUAUAC
rnacentral:rRNA from 1 species